AAAUGUAGCUCGUANCGAACUAUGAGAAGCUUGCUUCUCUGAUGUUGGCGGCGGACGGGUGAGUAACACGUGGGUAACCUACCUAUAAGACUGGGAUAACUCCGGGAAACCGGGGCUAAUACCGGAUAAUAUAUUGAACCGCAUGGUUCAAUGUUGAAAGACGGUUUCGGCUGUCACUUAUAGAUGGACCCGCGCCGUAUUAGCUAGUUGGUAAGGUAACGGCUUACCAAGGCAACGAUACGUAGCCGACCUGAGAGGGUGAUCGGCCACACUGGAACUGAGACACGGUCCAGACUCCUACGGGAGGCAGCAGUAGGGAAUCUUCCGCAAUGGGCGAAAGCCUGACGGAGCAACGCCGCGUGAGUGAUGAAGGUCUUAGGAUCCUAAAACUCUGUUGUUAGGGAAGAACAAAUUUGUUAGUAACUGAACAAGUCUUGACGGUACCUAACCAAAAAGCCACGGCUAACUACGUGCCAGCAGCCGCGGUAAUACGUAGGUGGCAAGCGUUAUCCGGAAUUAUUGGGCGUAAAGCGCGCGUGGGCGGUUUCUUAAGUCUGAUGUGAAAGCCCACGGCUCAACCGUGGAGGGUCAUUGGAAACUGGGGAACUUGAGUGCAGAAGAGGAAAGUGGAAUUCCAUGUGUAGCGGUGAAAUGCGCAGAGAUAUGGAGGAACACCAGUGGCGAAGGCGGCUCUCUGGUCUGUACCUGACGCUGAUGUGCGAAAGCGUGCGGAUCAAACAGGAUUAUAUACCCUGGUAGUCCACGCCUAAAACGAUGAGUGCUAACUGUUAGCGGGUUUCCGCCCCUUAGUGCUGCACCUAACGCAUUAAGCACUCCGCCUGGGGAGUACGACCGCAAGGUUGAAACUCAACGGAAUUGACGGGGACCCGCACAAGCGGUGGAGCAUGUGGAUUAAUUCCGGAGCAACGCUGAAG
rnacentral:rRNA from 2 species